rnacentral:rRNA from 1 species
AUUGAACGCUGGCGGCAGGCCUAACACAUGCAAGUCGAACGAGUGGCGGACGGGUGAGUAAUGUAUGGGAAAGUGCCUGAUGGAGGGGGAUAACUACCGGAAACGGUAGCUAAUAACGCAUACCAUCGGAUGUGCCCAGGUGGGAUUAGCUAGUAGGUGGGGCAAAGGCUCACCUGGGCGACGAUCCGUAGCUGGUCUGAGAGGAUGACCAGCCACACUGGAACUGAGACACGGUCCAGACGCCUACGGGAGGCAGCAGUGGGGAAUAUUGAACAAUGGGCGAAAUCCUGAUGCAGCCAUGCCGCGUGUGUGAAGAAGGCCUUCGGGUUGUAAAGUACUUUCAGCGGGGAGGCGUUACUCGCAGAAGAAGCACCGGCUAACUCCGUGCCAGCAGCCGCGGUAAUUC